ensembl:lncRNA
GGGUAAGGAGUUAUACACAGGGGUUAUAAGGGGGUAAGGGGUUAUAUACAGGAGUUAUAAGGGGGUAAGGAGUUAUACACAAGGGUUAUAAGGGGGUAAGGAGUUAUAAACAGGGGUUAUAAGGGGGUAAGGAGUUAUACACAGGGGUUAUAAGGGGAUAAGUGGUUAUACGCAGGGGUUAUAAGGGGGUAUGGGGUUAUAAACAGGGGUUAUAAGGGGGUAAGGAGUUAUACACAGGGGUUAUAAGGGGGUAAGGGGUUAUAUACAGGAGUUAUAAGGGGGUAAGGAGUUAUACACAAGGGUUAUAAGGGGGUAAGGGGUUAUACACAAUGGUUAUAAGGGGAUAAGUG